rnacentral:rRNA from 1 species
UUCGCAAUGCCCGAAAGGGUGACGAUGCGACGCCGCGUGAGCGAAGAAGGCCCUAGGGUUGUAAAGCUCUGUCGAGGGUUAUGCAAUAUAGAUGGGUUAAUACCCCAUUUAUUUGACAAAAGCCCAAAAGGACGCCACGGCUAACUCUGUGCCAGCAGCCGCGGUAAUACAGAGGUGGCGAGCGUUGUUCGGUAUUAUUGGGCGUAAAGAGCACGUAGGUGGUUUUGUAAGUCAGGUGUGAAAGCCUUCUGUUCAAAGGAAGAACGGCAUCUGAAACUGCAGAUCUUGAGUGUAGGAGGGGAGAGUGGAACUUCUGGUGGAGCGGUGAAAUGCGUAGAUAUCAGAAGGAACGUCGGCGGCGAAAGCGACUCUCUGGCCUAUUACUGACACUGAGGUGCGAAAGUUAGGGGAGCAAACGGGAUUAGAUACCCCGGUAGUCCUAACCGUAAACGAUGGGCACUAAGUAGAGGGGUUUU